AAGCCAUGACAAACACAGAGGAAGAAUAUGGGGCAAAGUGUGUUCUGGGGAGAAAAGGGAAGUGGGGAUCUGUUUCUCGGUGCCUAUCAACAGAUCGACGUGGUCUUCGUACACAGUGGAGUCUUACUCAGCCAUUAAGAAGAGUGAAAUCGUGUCAGAAAAUGGAUGGGAGUGGAGACCAUCAUUCUAAGUGAAAUAAGCCAGCCCUGCAGAGGGAAAGGUUUUCUGUCCUUUGUGGAAGCCAGGGGAAAGCACCACAAAAUAACCAAAUGGAGAAAGCGGAAGGGGAAAGAAGGGCGAUGGAUGGGGCGGACAGAACCACAGAUCCCACUGCAGGUAUCACAGUCACUUGUGUGGACAUGUCCACAGGAAAAAGUCCCCCUACCUGCUUGAUGCCUGGCCUCCCUCCUCCCACAGCUCGGCUGCGAGGGAGCCUUACGGAUGGCCACACGUUAGAUUGCCUCUCUAGCGGGCUCUCGUCCCUCAACAGGAUCGUGGGCAGCAGGCCGGGGAGAGCUCGC